GACGAACGCUGGCGGCGUGCUUAACACAUGCAAGUCGAACGGAAAGGCCCUGCUUUUGUGGUCUGCUCGAGUGCCGAACGGGUGAGUAACACGUGUGUAACCUGCUCUUGUCUUUGGGAUAACUUCAGGAAACUGGGGCUAAUACCGUAUAGGAGCUCCUGCUGCAUGGUGGGGGUUGGAAAGUUUCGGCGGUUGGGGAUGGAUUGGCGGCUUACCAGCUUGUUGGUUGGGUAGUGGCUUACCAAGGCUUUGACGGGUAGCCGGCCUGAGAGGGUGACCGGGGGCAAGGGGACUGAGGGACGGCGCAGACUCCUAUGGGGGGCAGCAGUGGGAAAUAUUGCACAAUGGGCGGAAGCCUGAUGCAGAAACGCCGCGUGAGGGAUGACGGCUUUCGGGUUGUGAACAGCUUUAGCCUAAGACGAAGCGUGAGUGACGGUAAUGGGUAAAGAAGCACCGGCUAACUAAGUG
rnacentral:rRNA from 1 species